UGUCUAGUAGUUCAGUGGUAGAACGCCACACUGUUAAUGUGGAUGUCGCUGGUUCGAACCCGGCCUGGACAG
rnacentral:tRNA from 1 species